CUUGAAACCAGAAACUAAUGCAGAGCAGCAGACGGAGGAUGACGACAGGCACUUCGGAGAUUGCCAAACUACAGCAGGAUCACCGAUGAGAUUUAUACUUGUUUCACAAUAGUACAAUGAAAUGGGACAAAAUAUGAUCGCAGAAUGGGACAGUACUUCACAUUCAAUGACCCGUUUGAGGAUAGAUUUACUUGGGUCACAUGUUUGUCUUUUAACCAGAAAGGGAACAAAUCGAUGCUCUGAUCCUAAAGGUAAUAAACAUAAAUAAAAAGUUAGCGUAACUACCAGUUUGACUUGUGGAGUUCACGUCAAUCAGUUGGCCUGAAACAUCCAGAAUUGCACGAAAAGGAAAGAAAAUCUGGACGCCUUAUGUCAGCUGAACGUAAUUAAACACAAAUGUAGAUGUUCUAUUUUGCCAAGACAAUGUAUUUUUAACCAAUUUUUUUUGACCAACUCUGCAAUUAUCCCUAGUUCCCAUGUCGAAAACAUGCUAAUCUCUACCAUCCAUCCCAUAUAUGACAUGGACAUGGCCUGAACAUCAUGAGAAACGCAAACAUUCACACAAACUCAAAAGCCUCAGAAAAAAAAAAAAUCAGAUAAAUAAGUAAACUACCUGAGUGUAGAACAUGACAUUCACGUAAGUGAAAAAUGGUUGUUUACUUGUAAUUCAAAUAC